GUCAGCAGCCGCUGGACCUGUUGAUGUGACCUAUGCUGAUGUUGACCUCCAAAAGAAGGUCAAAGCCAAGAAGAAGAGAGAAACAGCAACCCCACCUGAGGCAGAACCUGUCUAUUCUCUAGUGAAGCCAUACACAGCCCCCGCAGCUGGACCUGUUGAUGUGACCUAUGCUGAGGUUGACCUCCAAAAGAAGGUCAAAGCCAAGAAGAAGAGAGCAACCCCACCAGUAGCAGAUUCAGUCUAUUCUCAAGUGAAGCCACACAAAGCCACAGGUCCUUGAGGGAGCUGGAGGGAUACAUCACUUUGUGUGGUGAUAUGUUACAGGUCCUUGAAGGAAAUGGAGGGAUAAAUCACUUUGUGUUGUGAUCUGUUACAGGUCCUUGAGGGAGCUGGAGGGAUAAAUCACUUUGUGUGG